rnacentral:rRNA from 1 species
UACGUAGGGUGCAAGCGUUGUCCGGAAUUAUUGGGCGUAAAGGAGCUCGUGAGGCGGUCUGUCGCGUCUGCUGUGAAACUCAGGGCUUAACCCUGAGCUUGCAGUGGGUACGGGCAGACUAGAGUGCGGUAGGGGAGACUGGAAUUCCUGGUGUAGCGGUGAAAUGCGCAGAUAUCAGGAGGAACACCGAUGGCGAAGGCAGGUCUCUGGGCCGACAUUGACGCUGAGGAAGCGAAAGCCGUGGGGAGCAAACAGG